rnacentral:lncRNA from 1 species
CCAGGCCACGCGGGAACAGACCAGACCCGACCCGCGCAGAACGCCGGCCGAGGGCCCAGCCACCCCUCCAGACCCCUCACGAUUUGUGAGGAGAAACAGGCUCACGGGCAGGAAUCGGGCUCGGCGGAGGGUUUCUGGAAUGGACGCUGAAAUCUCCAGGAACAGAAUGCUUGAUUCGUGUGUUGCUAAGGUAGAUGUGGGAAAGGAUUGUGAUACAAUAAGGGAGACACCCAGAUGCACGUGGCGUCCGAACGGGAUGACCGGCGGCGGGGCUGUGGGGAGACAGAGGCAGAGGCAGCCUAACUUCCUCAGAUGCCGGUGCAAAGGAAACACAACCCCAAAUAAAGGAGACGGGAGGUAACGGGCCCUUUCACGGAAUAUAGCAACCCUCUGCGUGUCUGGAGUGGGGUGUUGUACUUCCAGCAGCAGUUUAGCGAUAAACCAAGCUCACCACAGUUCAAGAAUGAGACAAGGAUAACCAUUGUCUAUGCUACUAUUUAACACAGCAGUGGAGAUGACGUCUGACACUAAAGGAAAGAGAAUGAAGCAAGAAACGGAUGAGAUGAGAAUUGAUAUAAUUAUUCACAGAGUCAAGGUCAUGCAUAAUAAUCCUAACUUGCCAGGAGCCAAGCCAUUUACUACAAAGCUGCUUUGCAGCGAAGGAGGCGGAUUGGCACCAGGACCGGAAGAGACGAGUGAAUCAGCACAGCGGAAAGUGAGCACAGACAGCUGAGGGAGUCAAAGAUGGAACAAAAAAUCAGUGGAGAAACAAUUAUUAGCAGACAAAGCUGGACACACGAGCUCACUGUGUAGCAGAAAAUGACGUGGCACCCCGAUGUAACACCAUUCCACUACUGCAUGUUACUGAUGUAAUGACCUUAAUGGGAGACAGAAACACACACAUUUAGAAAGGAGUGGAUGUGAGAGAGUGUGAAAACUUCUACUAAAAAAAAAUCGAUAACGACAUUAACAACUGAAUUAUAUUAAAAUUAAAAAUCAGUAAAAUAAAGAGCACA